rnacentral:rRNA from 1 species
CGCUGGCGGCGUGCCUAAUACAUGCAAGUCGAACGCUUUUUCUUUCACCGGAGCUUGCUCCAUCGAAAGAAAAAGAGUGGCGAACGGGUGAGUAACACGUGGGUAACCUGCCCAUCAGAAGGGGAUAACACUUGGAAACAGGUGCUAAUACCGUAUAACACUAUUUUCCGCAUGGAAGAAAGUUGAAAGGCGCUUUUGCGUCACUGAUGGAUGGACCCGCGGUGCAUUAGCUAGUUGGUGAGGUAACGGCUCACCAAGGCAACGAUGCAUAGCCGACCUGAGAGGGUGAUCGGCCACACUGGGACUGAGACACGGCCCAGACUCCUACGGGAGGCAGCAGUAGGGAAUCUUCGGCAAUGGACGAAAGUCUGACCGAGCAACGCCGCGUGAGUGAAGAAGGUUUUCGGAUCGUAAAACUCUGUUGUUAGAGAAGAACAAGGAUGAGAGUAAAAUGUUCAUCCCUUGACGGUAUCUAACCAGAAAGCCACGGCUAACUACGUGCCAGCAGCCGCGGUAAUACGUAGGUGGCAAGCGUUGUCCGGAUUUAUUGGGCGUAAAGCGAGCGCAGGCGGUUUCUUAAGUCUGAUGUGAAAGCCCCCGGCUCAACCGGGGAGGGUCAUUGGAAACUGGGAGACUUGAGUGCAGAAGAGGAGAGUGGAAUUCCAUGUGUAGCGGUGAAAUGCGUAGAUAUAUGGAGGAACACCAGUGGCGAAGGCGGCUCUCUGGUCUGUAACUGACGCUGAGGCUCGAAAGCGUGGGGAGCGAACAGGAUUAGAUACCCUGGUAGUCCACGCCGUAAACGAUGAGUGCUAAGUGUUGGAGGGUUUCCGCCCUUCAGUGCUGCAGCAAACGCAUAAUGCACUUCGCUCUG